GACGAACGCUGGCGGCGUGCUUAACACAUGCAAGUCGAACGGUAAGGCCCUUCGGGGUACACGAGUGGCGAACGGGUGAGUAACACGUGGUGAUCUGCCCUGCACUUCGGGAUAAGCCUGGGAAACUGGGUCUAAUACCGGAUAGGACCAUGGACUUCACGGUUUGUGGUGGAAAGCUUUUGCGGUGUGGGAUGGGCCCGCGGCCUAUCAGCUUGUUGGUGGGGUAAUGGCCUACCAAGGCGACGACGGGUAGCCGGCCUGAGAGGGUGUCCGGCCACACUGGGACUGAGAUACGGCCCAGACUCCUACGGGAGGCAGCAGUGGGGAAUAUUGCACAAUGGGCGCAAGCCUGAUGCAGCGACGCCGCGUGAGGGAUGAC
rnacentral:rRNA from 1 species